AAGCGUGGGGAGCAAAACAGGAUUAGAUACCCUGGUAGUCCACGCCGUAAACGAUGUCGACUUGGAGGUUGUGCCCUUGAGGCGUGGCUUCCGGAGCUAACGCGUUAAGUCGACCGCCUGGGGAGUACGGCCGCAAGGUUAAAACUCAAAUGAAUUGACGGGGGCCCGCACAAGCGGUGGAGCAUGUGGUUUAAUUCGAUGCAACGCGAAGAACCUUACCUACUCUUGACAUCCAUAGAACUUUCCAGAGAUGGAUUGGUGCCUUCGGGAACUCUGAGACAGGUGCUGCAUGGCUGUCGUCAGCUCGUGUUGUGAAAUGUUGGGUUAAGUCCCGCAACGAGCGCAACCCUUAUCCUUUGUUGCCAGCGGUUAGGCCGGGAACUCAAAGGAGACUGCCAGUGAUAAACUGGAGGAAGGUGGGGAUGACGUCAAGUCAUCAUGGCCCUUACGAGUAGGGCUACACACGUGCUACAAUGGCGCAUACAAAGAGAAGCGACCUCGCGAGAGCAAGCGGACCUCAUAAAGUGCGUCGUAGUCCGGAUUGGAGUCUGCAACUCGACUCCAUGAAGUCGGAAUCGCUAGUAAUCGUAGAUCAGAAUGCUACGGUGAAUACGUUCCCGGGCCUUGUACACACCGCCCGUCACACCAUGGGAGUGGGUUGCAAAAGAAGUAGGUAGCUUAACCUUCGGGAGGGCGCUUACCACUUUGUGAUUCAUGACUGGGG
rnacentral:rRNA from 1 species